GAUGAACGCUGACAGAAUGCUUAACACAUGCAAGUCAACUUGAACUUCGGUUUGGGUGGCGGACGGGUGAGUAACGCGUAAAGAACUUGCCUCACAGAUAGGGACAACAUUUGGAAACGAAUGCUAAUACCUGAUAUUAUGAUUUUAGGGCAUCCUAGAAUUAUGAAAGCUAUAUGCACUGUGAGAGAGCUUUGCGUCCCAUUAGCUAGUUGGAGAGGUAACGGCUCACCAAGGCGAUGAUGGGUAGCCGGCCUGAGAGGGUGAUCGGCCACAAGGGGACUGAGACACGGCCCUUACUCCUACGGGAGGCAGCAGUGGGGAAUAUUGGACAAUGGACCAAGAGUCUGAUCCAGCAAUUCUGUGUGCACGAUGAAGUUUUUCGGAAUGUAAAGUGCUUUCAGUUGGGAAGAAAAAAAUGACGGUACCAACAGAAGAAGUGACGGCUAAAUACGUGCCAGCAGCCGCGGUAAUACGUAUGUCACAAGCGUUAUCCGGAUUUAUUGGGCGUAAAGCGCGUCUAGGUGGUUAUGUAAGUCUGAUGUGAAAAUGCAGGGCUCAACUCUGUAUUGCGUUGGAAAACUGUGUAACUAGAGUACUGGAGAGGUAAGCGGAACUACAAGUGUAGAGGUGAAAUUUGUAGAAUAUUUUGUAGGAAUGCCGAUGGGGAAGCCAGCUUACUGGACAGAUACUGACGCUGAAGCGCGAAAAGCGUGGGUAGCAAACAGGG
rnacentral:rRNA from 1 species